GACGAACGCUGGCGGCGUGCUUAACACAUGCAAGUCGAACGGAAAGGCCCUGCUUUUGUUGGGUGCUCGAGUGGCGAACGGGUGAGUAACACGCGAGUAAACUGCCCUUGAAUUUGGGAUAACUUCAGGAAACUGGGGCUAAUACCGCGUAGGAGCUACUGAUGCAUGGUGUUGGUUGGAAAGUUUCGGCGGUUGGGGCUGGACUCGCGGCUUAUCAGCUUGUUGGUGUGGUAGUGGCUUACCAAGGUUUUGACGGGUAGCCGGCCUGAGAGGGUGACCGGCCACAUUGGGACUGAGAGACGGCCCAGACUGGUACGGGAGGCAGCAGUGGGGAAUAUUGCAGAAUGGGCGGAAGCCUGAUGCAGCAACGCCGCGUGCGGGAUGACGGCCUUCGGGGUGUAAACCGCUUUCGCCGGUGACGAAGCGUGAGUGACGGUAAUGGGUAAAGAAGCACCGGCUAACUACGUG
rnacentral:rRNA from 1 species